GACAGAGGGUGCAAACGUUGUUCGGAAUUACUGGGCGUAAAGCGCGUGUAGGCGGCCCUGCAAGUCGGAUGUGAAAUCCCACGGCUCAACCGUGGAAGUGCAUUCGAAACUGCAGGGCUAGAGUCCUGGAGAGGAAGGUGGAAUGCUUGGUGUAGAGGUGAAAUUCGUAGAUAUCAAGAGGAACACCAGUGGCGAAGGCGAGUCCCUGGACAACACCUGACACUGAGGCACGAAAGCUAGGGGAGCAAACAGG
rnacentral:rRNA from 1 species